CACAUCACAUUAUAGAUGGUUGUGAGCCACCAUGUGAGUUGCUGGAAAUUGAACUCAGGACUUCUGGAAGAGCAGCGAGUGUUCUUAAUCUCUGAGCCACCUGUCCAACCUUGAACAUUACUUUUAUGAAGGUAAACCAAACCAAGAAUUAAACAAGCACUCUAGUCUGCAUGCAGCACUACUGCAGAGAAUCUGCUGGUCCCUCAUACAAUCACCCUUAUGCAGCCAUAGAUUACCCCACUUAGCAAGCUCCAUUCACCCUGUAAGGUGCUCUCUCCCCACACUUGUGCUUCUGGGCUACCAACUGCCAUUAACACAAACCACAGCAAAAGGAAAAUAAAACAAUUUCGCAAAAAUCUAAA